rnacentral:misc_RNA from 1 species
CAACCCUUAAGCCUAGCUUAGUGUUGGGAAUCUACGUCCGCAUAACUUGUUAUGCAGUAGUUCCUGAAAUCAAACGGCGGAUUAUAUGUAUCCUCUGAGCGUAGUAAAUCUUUUUCUCGCUUUUGUUAGGUGCUACAAUUCUAGCCGCUAAACCCCCAAUUUUUAAU